AAUCCGUAGGUUUUUCUAUAUAGGAAAAUACUAUUCCGGGAGGUUUUCAAAAUUUGUUUGGGAUGAAAAUGAUUUUUUUUUUUUUUUUGUUCCUAAAACAAUAUUUAUGUGAUUUUUCCUAAUUGUGAAAGUAUUUUUGUGAUUUUUUGUGAUUUUUCCCGAAUUUCAAAAAUAACACAAAUAAGAUCAAUUGAAAUCAAAGUACGAAAAUGUUUUUGAGAUUUUUGAAAAUUUUGUGAUUUUUAUGAAUUUUCUAAAUAUCAAUAAGAAGAAUAUGAAAUGGAGAGAACCGAUGUGAACCGGUUUGGGAGAGGACGAAUCGAUCAAACGUUGACCGAUCUGGGGAAAACCAGUUUAAGGUCUUGAUCGAGACCAAUUUUGUAGGUUUUUUUAAUAUCUCAAAAUUUUGAGGCAAAAACCAAAAAGUUUCGAGCUUGAAGACAUGACUUGAAAUUUAAAACUUAUUUGUGAAAUUUUUGAAUGUAAGAAAACAACUCCAAUUUUGAAAAACAUUUUGAAAAUUUUACUAUAUUUUCUUCACAAAUUUUCAAGUGAAAUCAAGUUUCAAAGCUUUAAUAUUUUUUGAAUUUUUCUGAGAAAUUUUCCUCAAUUUUUUUGUCCUUUAUGAAUAUUUUAUGAUUUUUAUGGAUUUUGCUGAAUUUAUUGGAAAUUAUUUGUGAAUUAUUGAGGUUAAACCGGUUAUCUACCGGUUCAACGGACCCAACCAGUUCGGGAAUCCGAACCAGCCAGCUCGAGUCAACCCGGUUUAAGGCCUGGGGCAAGGCCAGAUUGCCAUGUGGCGCGUCGUGAACUGGGCAAGUUAUAGUGGCACGGAUUAGGGACAUGGCGCAAUCCACACCAUCCCUAAGAAACACGCAUUGUGUGGUCUAGAAUCGUCCACAUGAGGCCUUGAACCCGCGGAGGAGAGAGCGCCACGUGUUGCGCUCUGACAAAGUCAUCAUACAAAAACCAAAAAUUUCCCUUCUCGUCCAUUUUGUUCUUUCAUUUUUCUUCCCCUCUGAAACGUCCAUGUUCCUCUCCAUCGCUCUGCUCUUUGCAUCCUGCCGCCGAACGAGCCUCCCAUCAUUACAUGUCCGCUUGAUCACAUCGUUUUGGUUGCAGAUCUUCUGUUGGUCGUCAUCCUCGCGCUACACCUCCGGCCACCACCGUCUUGGAAUCUCACGACAUACACGGCGAUCCGAGCCCUCGAUCACUCUCUGCCUCUCCCUAUGACCAUCCUGGCUAUUCUACGAGCUUAAGCCCCAAGAUCCUGCCUUCAGAUUUUCCUCGUUCUUCAACAACUGAUAAUCACCAUGACCGCCGUCAAGCUCAAACGCUGCAACUCCACGGCCGCCUAUCACGCCUGCUCUCCAGCUCCACGCCCUCGCUCUCGCCGUUUCUCUCCAUGCGCCGGUGUUCCUUUCGUUGGCCUCAAGAUCAGCUCCCGUCGCGUCACCAGAGCCGUCGUGCCCGCCUUGGUUCUCGCGGUGAUGUGUCGAUCGCUACACGCGGAACCGAUGCCGCGACUUCAACCGCCGCCCCGGAAUCGACCGCUGCAUUUCUCCGUGGCCGAAGCUUUUCACUUUGUUCUUUUCUAGUCCACGCAUUUUCGCUUCUCCGAUUUUACCAGAGGAAACGGCGAGGACGGGAAUGCUGUGUAGUGGCAGCGACGGUGAUGGCGGUGGAGUAGGGAGCGGAGAAGGAGUGGUUAGGGGGAGACAGGAGAUCUAUUCUGUGCUUCGACGACUACCCAGAUGAGUUUCCUUGCUCUUUUUUAUAUUUGUGAUUUCUGCAGACCGAGGUGGGUGAGUGAGGUGUGUGUGUGGGCGAGUGUUGUGAGAUCGGUGAGUGGGUGAGGCUGUGUGUGGAGGUGAGUGCUUGUGAAAUUGGCUUGAUUGAAUCUAAGGUUCGGAAGAUGUAAGUGUUGUGUGUGUGAACCUGCUGAAGUUAGGGCUGCGGGGGUUUGGGGGGGCGAGGUGGGAGACGGGUGAACCCGUCUCAACUCAAUGAGUUGGAUCUGAGUCAGGUUUUGAACGUUCAGUGGGCUACGUGGUGAUUUUGGUGGGCCUUUGGUGCUCUCUUGAGUUAGGCUUUAUUCAAAAAUUCAAAAUGGGCUUUGGACCUAGGACUCAGACUGGGCUUGGGGCUUUGCAAUUGAAAUAGGGGUAGUGGGUUUUCAAGGUGGCUUGGUGAAUUUUGAAAACAAAAGCCGGGCUCUAAGGUUUGUUCGUCAAAAAUGGGCCGGAUGGUUUUCAAAGUGAGAGUGGGCCUCAUUUUACAAUGGUAGUGGGCGGGCCUAUGCUUGUUGAAAAUGAACCUGGCCUCGUUUUAAAACAUGAGUGGGCUGGGGUUGUUUAAAAUGGGAGUUGGGUUGGUUUUUUUUUAAAUGGGUUCUGUGUGGAUGGAGUGCGUGGCUUUGGGUUAAGAAUUGAAAAUGGGGGCUCGGGGAAAUGCCUUGGAAUGGGUUAACUACUCGAACCUGAACUCAGAUUCGGGUAUGUGAUUCAAACAUGGGGGGUUCAAUUUGGGUUAGAUCGGGAACUCGUGUAUGAAAGUGUAAACAAAUCAAGAUUCGGAGGAUCCGAAUUCGAGCUCGAGUUUGGGUCGGCAUCGGCCAUGGGGUGAGUUAGAAUCCAUGUUCGGGUGAGAACCUGAAGCUCCCAAAGAAUGGUACCUGCAUCUAUUGCUCACAUAUAGUCACUUAUGUAUUGAGACAAGUUCAGAAAGAGGAUUUAGGAAUUUACCCUCCCUUGUACUCCUCCGGUCUUCUUUUCCUGUCUGUGCGUGUCCGAUUGGUCUGGUAGUCUGAAUCUGAAUGAGCUUCCGAGCUCUACCUUUUGCUUUCUCUUAUAAACUGGUAGAACCUUCGCCACUGCUCUCUGUUUCCAGACAGUCCUCUCUCUAAAUCAAUCUUUUUUGGAGCAGCACCUCCCCUCUUUUCUUUCUCUCAAUUCUCAUGAAAUGUUUAUGUGCUCUCCCUUUUUUAGAAAAAUAGGCAGAACCUCCCCUCUUUUCUAACUUCCAUCUCUUUCUCUCUCUCCCCCAAUUCUUGCAGGGUUUCCCUUCGAUCUCUCCCCCAUCUCUUCUACAGUGCGAGCCUCCCUAUUUAUAGGGAGGCCGUGGGUGUGUUUUGGCGCCAAUUCUCUCUGCUAACUGAUUUCCCCAAUAACAAACUGUGUCAGGGAAUAAUUUUCUGGCACGCGUGACUGAUUUCCUUUUUGAUUCCCGGCUAACAAAUUCCUCCCCUUCCGUGCAGGUGACUUUUGAGGGUCUACGUGGCGAACGGGAAAUGGAGGGCAUUUUGAGUGUCUCCUGGUGGCAGUGUAGGAGAGGACUCGGAAUAUAUAUUUUGUGUUUUCCUUUUUUCGUAAUUUCCCUCUUAUUUUUACUUUUGUAACCUCAGUAUGUACCUCCGGGAAUUCUCUCCCUCAACAUUUAACUUGUAUAUUUUAUUAACUUGUAUA